GACAGAUGAGAAGAAAGACGCAAGAAGAAUGGCAAAAACGAUCUGCAGAUUGAUGUAGAUGAAAAAGAACAAAAACUGUAUGCCGUAACUAUUUGAUCUGAAUAUCUCAAGACCUGCAAAACAAGCAAGGAGAGUCAACUCACUGGAAGAAGGAGCUGAACUGUCCAUGUGAAGAACAGUGCCGCAAGAAGAGUGGUAAGGUCCAGCCUGAUUCUGAUUGCAGCUUUGGGCAUCUCUUUCAAAAAUUCAAGGCGCAUUUCUGCGCUCACUCCUUGACGGACCUUUAGAUAUGCAGUGGAUGCCUAGAGUACACAUGCAUGUUAAUACCAUCAAAAAAGCAUGAAUAUGAUUUGUCACUUCAAAUACA